rnacentral:rRNA from 1 species
CCUACGGGGGGCAGCAGUGGGGGAUAUUGGACAAUGGGGGGGCACCCUGAUCCAGCGACGCCGCGUGAGUGAAGAAGUAUUUCGGUAUGUAAAGCUCUGUCAGCAGGGAAGAAAGCACUGACGGUACCUGACCAAGAAGCCCCGGCUAACUACGUGCCAGCAGCCGCGGUAUUACGGAGGGGGCACGCGUUAUCCGGAAUUACUGGGUGUAAAGGGAGAGUAGACGGCGGUGCAAGUCAGGAGUGAAAGGCGGGGGCGCAACCCCCGGAAUGCUCUGGACACUGUAUGGCUGGAGUGCAGGAGAGGUAAGCGGAAUUCCUAGUGUAGCGGUGAAAUGCGUAGAUAUUAGGAGGAACACCAGUGGCGAAGGCGGCUUACUGGACUGUAACUGACGUUGAGGCUCGAAAGCGUGGGGAGCAAACAGGAUUAGAUACCCCAGUAGUC